GACGGAGGGUGCUAGCGUUGUUCGGAAUUACUGGGCGUAAAGGGCGCGUAGGCGGCAAUUCAAGUCAGCUGUGAAAUCUCCGGGCUUAACUCGGAACGGUCGGCUGAUACUGCUUUGCUAGAGUGCAGAAGGGGCAAUCGGAAUUCUUGGUGUAGCGGUGAAAUGCGUAGAUAUCAAGAGGAACACCUGAGGUGAAGACGGGUUGCUGGGCUGACACUGACGCUGAGGCGCGAAAGCUAGGGUAGCAAACGGG
rnacentral:rRNA from 1 species